rnacentral:rRNA from 1 species
GGGCCCGCACAAGCGGUGGAGUAUGUGGUUUAAUUCGAUGCAACGCGAAGAACCUUACCUGGGCUUGACAUAUAGCUGCAUACGACCCGAAAGGGACGUAGCCUUCGAGGGUGCUAUACAGGUGCUGCAUGGCUGUCGUCAGCUCGUGCCGUGAGGUGUUGGGUUAAGUCCCGCAACGAGCGCAACCCUUGUCCUUAGUUACCAGCGGGUUAAGCCGGGAACUCUAAGGAUACUGCCAGUGACAAACUGGAGGAAGGCGGGGACGACGUCAAGUCAUCAUGGCCCUUACGACCAGGGCUACACACGUGCUACAAUGGUAGGUACAGAGGGCAGCUACACAGCGAUGUGAUGCGAAUCUCAAAAAGCCUAUCGUAGUCCAGAUUGGAGUCUGCAACUCGACUCCAUGAAGUAGGAAUCGCUAGUAAUCG